UUGAUAUCGAAAAUAUCGAUUUAACGUUAGUCGUUCUCCGGACGCGGAGCCGAACGGACGUGUUAUUCUGUUCUCCUCGUAAGAAUAUUGUUUAAUAAAUUAAUUAGUUUAUAUUUGUUAUUACAAAUUAAAUAAAAAUAAGUCUUUUAAAAUUUAUCCGGAUUUUAAAAAACUUUUUUUUUAUAAUUUAAAAAGAAAUUAUUUAUUCAUUAUUGUUAAUUCAAUAAAUUUGUAAUAACAUAUCGCUUUUUAAAAUUUAUCAGAAUUUAACAAAAUUUUUUUUUAUAAUUUAAAAAAAAAUUAUUUAUUCAUUAUUGUUAAUUUGUAAUAACAAAUUUGUAAUAAUAUAUCGCGUUGAAUAAGCUUCAACAAUUAUGAUGUAGAAUAUUAUAAAUCGCGGCACAGGAAAUAAUAAUAUCGAUUGACAUUGAUAUCGAAAAUAUCGAUUUAACGUUAGUCGUUCUCCGGACGCGGAGCCGAACGGACGUGUUAUUCUGUUCUCCUCGUUACUCGAAGGGCGUUGCGGCCUGCGGGCCAGCACGUUCACCCAACACAGUCGUCUGAGUAUUGUGCGCCGACGGAUGGAAUUAUCAACCCCCAAAGGCUCGUAACUCCUCCACUCCUGUAUGGACUGUAUCAUGGUGGAAGGCGAUAGUAUAUCAACCUGUUCCACUUUCAUUCGUGAUACCGAUGGCCGCGACAUCCUCAGGUGUGUUUUCGACUUGGACACCUCUUUUAUGGGGGCGAGAAUAGGAUAAAGGAAUUUUGUCCAAGUGUUGGAUGGGUUUAUGUAACGUACGAUAUGGUGAUUUUGUUUUUCUGUGAGUGAUUGUCAAUCGAUGCUUGGAUACAAAGGUUUGUUUAUCUGAAUUGAAGAAGGAGGAAUUUUUUCGAAUGAAUUUGAAUGAUAAAGACUCGUAUGUUUAUGUAAUUGAUAAUACAAUGGAAUAAUUGUUGAGUCAAUUUUGAUUAUUUGAUAAUCAAACAGUGAAAAAAAUAUGUGUUAUUAUUUAUUAUUGAAAAAUUGGAAUGUAUAAAAAUCUAGAAAAUGUAAUUAGGUUGGUAAGAUUUUUCCAUAAAAUGAUUAAUGAUUGAUAAUUAUAAUUAAUGUAAAAUCAAGCCAUUAAUCACGGUUAUUGAUUAUUAAAUAAUUAAAAAUCAUUAAUUAAUUAUUAAUAGAUAUAAUUAAGUUCUAAUCAAUGGUUAUGAUUAAUUUAAUAAUCGUUAAUAAAUGAAAUAAUUACCCUUAUGAUUGAAUCGGUAAUAUAACAAUCAUUAAUUCCUUUUAUUAAAAUUUAACUGUUAUAUUUUAUAAAUUUAACACGAUUGCUUCAAUUUUAUUUUUAUUAAAUUAAUAAUUUUAAAUUUCAAUUUUUUCAAAAUUGAAAAAUGUAUAAAUAAAAAAUAAUUGGAUGACAAUUGCAUAUAAUAUUUCAUAACAGUUGAAUAUAUUUAUAAUACUAAUAAUAAGUUGUAUAUAUUUUAUUUGUAGAUAUUUUUAACGAUUAUUAAAUGAAUAAUUUUACUCGAAACAAUUUUUAAUAAAAUACCACCGUUCUAAACUUAAAAUGCAUUUUUCAAAUCAAUUGUAAGCCACGAAAGUUAAUGGAAAUCGUUCCGCACGAUUAUUGAAAUAAAUUUUACUUCGAACAUUUCGAUCGAGUGCGAUUACUCGUUGAAUAGGAAUAAAAUUGCUGCGAGCCAUACUUCAAUUUUCCCGUAACUUGAAAUAUUCGCGUUAUCCCUGAAAAAUAUUUCAAACGAAGAUAAAUCAGACCAAUAAGAAAUUCUUAAGAAUACCUGAACAUUUUCUCUCGAAACGUUAUUUCCCGUCAAAAUAAAUUUCUAUUGAUAAAUAAUGAAAUCGAGAGAAAAUUCAAUUAUUUAUUCGAAACAAUUAUCACUUGAAUGUAUAUAAACAUUUAUUUAUUAUAAAUGUUUAAAACGCGUUUUAAAUUAUCCACGCCGAAUAUACACACGCACAUUGAUAAUAUUUUUUUUAAAUAUUUCCAUAACAUCUAUUACGCAUCCAUUUUUGAAUAUUUUCAAUAAAAUCCAAGCUUGGAUAAGCCCUUAAGGCGUGAGACGAUUAAGCAACGAGGAAUAAAAAUUUCGUAAUAUCUGUUUUCCAUCAAGGGCGCGUGACGGUGCCAGGAGAAAAAUGCUUUGCGAUAAAAUAAAGGUCACAGGAUUGGGAGAAGGGUGACUUGACAGCAGCCGCGAGGGACGCUCGAUUUAACCCCCACAAGGAAAAGGAAUCGAUGGGUCGCGAGCAUCCGCCAGAUAAAUCCUCGAUAACCACGGGGACAAGAUUGGCCCGGCCAAUAAGGGAUUGGAAAAUACGCCGGCAACUUUGCGCCACCCUUUUCCCUCCCUCCCUCCUCGACCCCUUUAACGUCUCAAAAUCUCGAGAUUUCAUCUAAAUACGGAUUGCGUAACCCCGAUCGAGUAAACCGAGACCCUCGAAUCGCUGCUCGGAAAACAGAAACCCUUAUUUUUCGUUCAAGACGAAAAAUUUUUCAGGAGAGAGAGAGAGAGAGAGAGAGAGAACAUCCCAGGGGUCCCUUUAACAUACGGUGUUUUUCUUUGCCCAUAUUUCUAGAUGGUGAAAGAUUACGAGGGAUCAAUCUGAAGAGGUGAAUGUGAAUGAGAAGGGGGACGAAGAGGGGAAGUACAUUUUUCGAAUAUUGAAUUGGAAUUUGAGUUCGCUUUAUACGUGUACAUUUGUGAGAUUGAAAGUGGAAGUAAUAAAUUGAGUAAAUAUAUUAAUAAAUUGUGUUACAAUUGGAGGACGAUGUUCUGAACUACUUGUCUGACAAAUGUCUGACUUACACUACUUUUUCAAGCGUCUCGUUACCAUUGCUUGGAUGAAUGAUUGAACUAUAUCAUUUGUAAGAUAAACGAAAGAACAAGUUUUGGAUUAGGAAAACUCGUCGCGAGUGUUAUAUUUAGCAAAUGGAAAAAUUAAUUAAAAAUUCAUAUUUUAUAAAUAUUCUUGAAAAUUAAAUUAUACACUAUUGUCUUUUUUUUUUCUAUAAUUGCCUUUUUUAUCGCGAUAAUAUCUAUCACUAUUUGUCUUAUUAUUAUCUCAUUUUAUUUAUCUGAUCAUGCCUACCACUUAUACAAAUUGCAUAAUUUAAGAAGGGAAAUUGCAGGUUAUAUUCCUCAAUGUAAAAAAACGAGCGAUUUUAUUAAAACAACAUAGCAUCCAUUUUCCUCUAUAUAUAUAAAUAAAUUAUUAUUAUAAUUUAUUAUAUUAUUAUAAUAUUAAUUAAAUAUAAUAAACGUACGCAUUUGACGAAUUUCAUAAUCGACUAAUAUUAAAUCGCGAGGAAAACGAAAAAUGACGCAACUUUUAAGAGUAUUUAUCGGCGGCGAAUAAAAAUAAAGAAUCAGCCGUAAUUCUCACCGGGUUAUCGCGUUAUCUAGCUCCGUGUUCCCUUAAUGCGGCAGACAUGUUAAAUUAAUCGUUCUAUCGAGACAAAGGAUCACGGUUUAAUUACGUAGAGAGCGUUUCACUCCGCCGCCAUGUUGAAAUGUCCGAAGUCGCACGCGAGGCUAUUGUCCGAAACGUUUAAAAGCGGCCACCUUAUCAGCGUUGCUGCUCACAGAACGUUCUUACGUGAAACUCCAUUAUCCGUGGCGAGAUCAGAAAAAGGGACGGAGAGGAAAAAUUCUCUCUUCCCCCUCCCCCGCUUUCCCCAUCCCGUAUCUCGAGGCACAAUUUAAAUUGUCCGAAAGCAAUUAAGAAUGGGCGUGUUGAGGAAUAAGCUUGUGUUGCUGAUGAAAUUCGAAUAGACGGUAAAUUUGUAUCCUGUGGGCGGUGGGCAAGGAACGAACGUAAAAGAGGUAAUAAAAGGAGUAUAAAAUAGGUUAUUACGUUGUAAAGGACGGAUAAGUGUGCCACUUAAUAAUGGAAAGUUACGUUGAUUUUCAAAUUAACGCCCGAAUUUAAUGGCUACGAAUUGUCAGGGUUUAAUGGCCGAAUUGUUGGAUCUGAUUUUACGUCUUCCAUGCUUGAAACAUUAAUUGGAAUUUUAUCGCGAGGAUUUUCUUGUAUUACUUCUAAUUAACGGCCAAGAUUGGUCGUUUCAUUAUAUCUUUUGAUAUAAUGUUACAAUUCUUCUUGUAUAUUUCAUUCUACGUAUACGGUAAUUUUAAUAAUUUUUAAUUUUAAUCGCCUCAUAGAACGAAUAUGAAAUUCAUUUUCGCGUUUCGCGUAAAAAUUAUGCGAUUUAAAACUUGCGGUUUUGAAAAUAUUAUUACGUAAAAAUUGUUAAAUCUUGCAUGUUUCCAAUUCGAAGUUUUGUUUUCUUGUUUUUCUUAUUCAAACUAUUCAAAAUUGUUUUUCUCGAGAAUCAUAAUUUUCAAGUUAUAGAAUCGUGACAUUUAUACGAUCUAAUAAAUCGUAAUAAUUAUCAUGACAUUACAUUUGUAAUUUUCUGUACUUCCAUAUUAUAUCUUUUUCUCUGACACAAAUUUCUUUCUCGUUUCAUUUCAAGUUUUAUAACGUUUAUAAUGUUUCCUAAUUUCCUAUAUUAAUUCGAUAUAAAUUUUCCAGACGAAUCCAGCGAAAAACGAAUCGGACGAAUAUCGCGUCAAUCAGUUCGAAAAGCCCGAAAAUUCAUAUCGACGAAUAUUCGAAGUGUCUGUCGUUCAACGAACUGCCGGGGAUCUCUCUGUUCGAAGUACACGGUGGCGGGGAGGGUACACAAAUAAACUUCGCGCAACCCACAAAGCCGUGUGUAAUCCAAAAGUUUGGCUCUUCAACGCCGCAGUAAAUCCAUCACGGUUCGAGUUAUCUCUCGAUCGACUUCGAGUGGCCGAAAUUCAGCUAGAUGCUCCAUAUAAAUCCGAGCCAGGGAAAGCACGCGUUCUACCAAGCCUCGAAUAUCGAUUAACGAUUCUUUUAUUGUCGCUACCCGCCCGGAAAUUGUCUGUCAAUCGUUUAAAUCCCGACGUUAAUGCCUCCCCUUCCUCCCCCUGUUGGAAAACUUUACGACACCUUGUAAGAAUUCGAUCAAUUUCAUACUUUCCAACAGUGAGGAUCCAGUUUCAUAAUUGGUGUGUCUACUGGAGGACUUGGGAUUAUUGCCAAGAACUUCUCGUAUCUUAUUUUUCUCGGGGAAAAAACACGUAUCGUAAGGUCUUCCAAAACAUUCAACCACGGCAUUAUAUCGCACAAUACAUUUCCAAGGCUGCAAUCGAACAUAGAAUGGAUUCGUGGCCUGAAUACUCGAGGAGAGUCUGUUUGAACCUUAAAGGAGAAGCUUACAAUACAGAUAUUCACGUUAUCCGGAAGAAUAUUUGAAACUUACAAUUUCAUGAACCAUUCAACUUGCGAUCGAAACCAGUUGCGGUUUGAAAAUCGUCUAAACCUAAUAAUUCUCGUUGUCUCUGUUGCCCUCGUGAUCGUCUAACCCUCUUGAUCGUCAAUACUGAUUAACGUAUCAUAAACCCAUGACAUAAUACGUACAGUAGGUAAUCCUAAUAGACGGAAUAGUGUUCAUCUCCCGUAAGCCUAAUUUCCUUGUCAUAUUCUAUAUACAUGUGCAAACUACAUUAUCUCGCAGUUUGAAAAUGGAAACUCGUAAUUUCGAAAAAUAUUUUAAGAAUGGUAGAUUAAUACAUAUAUAUAUAUUUUUUUAAUUAGUUAUAUGACUUUUUAAAAUUGUAUGGUUUGAUUUGCAAAAAAUUUAUUUAUUAUUAAAGAAAAUAUUCAAUAUUGAAUUGGAAAAAUGAAAUGAUUUAGGUAAAAUUUAAACAGGCAAUCACUCCACUACGAAUGUAAUCAGAUUUCUGUUGUUAACGAGAAAUUUUUAUCAAUGAUUAUCGUAUUAUCCUUGAAAAAACAUCAAAAUAUCUUGAAAUUAAAAAGGAUAGUAGAAGUAUAAUUUUCCAUUUGUAAUCAAAAUUAAUAAAAUCAGAAUUUAAAUUAAUCGUAGAUAAAAAUUUUCUAAAUUUCCUUUAAAUCGAUCUUAUUAAAAAAUAAUUAACAUAAAUGAAAAAUAAUUUUUGUGGCAGUAAUUCCACAUGUAUGAUUAAAAUAAAAUUAAAUAAAAUCAAAAAAUAUUGCUCAAAUUUAUGCUUAAAAAUUCUGAUUACAUUCGUUCCCGUUUAAUUCUAUCUUAUCACCCAACUACGAGUGGAAAACUUGAACGUACGAAAAAACCCCUAAAACUCGACACACGACACGCAAGCAAAAGCAAAAAUAUCCAAACCAAAGUACAUAUUCAAAAGGCGAGAUACAUUUUCAUUUCCCUUUUCCUUCCCCACAUUCAUAAAAAUUUAAAUUUCGCAUACGUAGUCCACCUAUCACCCAACUUUCUAUAUUCCGAAAAUUACCAAAAAUUCAAGGAACGAGCGUCGACAAUUCGCAUCGAAGUUUCGCGAGAAAAGACCUAGGAAGAAGAAGAAGAGGAGGAGGAAGAGGAGAAGAAGCAGAAGGAAGCAAGUCUGAUCUGAUCUUUCAUCGCAUUUACGGAAGAAGCUUUCUCGCGUUGUCCGUGGGACCGCGUUUGCCAGCAGUUUUUUUGGAAGCAAGUUCUCUUCCUCGUCGCAUCCAGAAGUGCAUGUACAUGUCAAGCCGCAGAAUGGACAGCGAGCAAAUACCAUAGGCGGAUGCGUGUACGUGCUCAGGAUGGGGAUCUUGAUCCCCAUUUCGUCUAUCUCCCCCUACGCAUACGAAUCCACAACGCGUGUAUACACACACAGACACAUACAUGCGCGCGCGAUACGUGUUGUGCGCAUCUCAGAUUCUCAUGGGACAAAACCUCGCCGACGGCUGCUUCUCUGAAGCGAUAACUCACUGCCACUUUGCGAACAUCCUUUCCUGUCCUACCUUCUGAAACGGUUUUAAAUUCGAUGAUCGGGUUGAAUCAUGAGAUGUUUGGUGUGAAAACGAGUGAAAAUCGUGGAAAUUAAAUUUCUGGGUGAUCAUUUAAUUUGCCAAGGAUUUUUUUAAUUUUUAUCUUUGUGAAACGCAUGGGAUAACUGCUGCUUUACGAUUCAGACAAUAAUUACGAAUUGGUCGAAUUAAUUAUUCUCUAUAAUAAAUUACUAAUAAAUUAAAUUAUAAUAAAUAAGAAGAAACGGUUGUUAAGAAUAUAUUUUAACUUGAAUUUUGUAAAAUUUAUAUUAAAAGAUUCUUCUACGUUAAAUUUAAACAAAACUUCAAAUCGGAGAUGAUUAAUUAUCAAAUAACCCAUUAAUUAAACAUUCAUGUAUAUUAAUUCUUAGGAAACAUCAAUCAAAUUUAUGACGCCAAUUCGACAAUCGCAAGAAAGGGUUAACGAGAAAACAAUGAAACGGUAGAGAACCUCAAAACCCUUUAUACUUUGCAGGCAAUAUUAUUAAAAGCAGGCCACGGCAUCGAAAUAAUUCGAUCCAUUUGGCAUGGAAGUAGGGUAGCCAGGGGAACGAGCGUCGAGAAGACAAAAGAGGCGUGAAACAUUGCCCGGAGGAAGAGGAUCAAGCGCGGUGUACGCGGAUGCAAUGCCGAUGGCGGUGAACACGAGCGAAAGCAUUGCGCUCGUGGUGAAAGAAAGUGGGAUGGCGGCGUUCCAUCUUGCAUCGCGGAGACAAUAUUGCUCGAAGACACUUUAAAAGUUCGGUAAUAGGAGCCGCCAUCCUUUCACGACCUCCAGUUCAAUCCGUUCAGCGACCUUUUCCUUCCUUCCGUACUUCAUCCCAGGUUUCCAUCGCGCUGUCCUCUCGCAUUUCUCACAUUUCCAAGUUGCAACCUCCUCUACGAAUAAUUUCUUCCCCUACAUAUUGGGUCAUCCUUUUACUUCGAGCCUGAGGUCGUUUCGAGGCUGCCAAAUCGUUGGCCUCGCUAUGCCCCUCCUCAGGGAGAGGAGCAUCAAUCUUAAGAAUUGCUGUGAGUGUAUCCAUUCUUCAAUUAUUCCCUUGUUGUGUAUGGAGGAUUAUUUCAGCGUCGAAAAGUUGGACGAGAGUCUGUUUUAAAAAUUUGUUUCUAGAUUUAGAAAUUGUGGUAUUUGAAAGUUUAAUCGUUGAGCCCAAAACUUCUUUUUGAUUCUUUUUAAAGAUUUUUUGGACGUUUAAAAAUUUUGAUUCUGCUUUGAAUGUCAUAUCAUGAUAUCUUUUGAAAUUUUUUUCUUCAAGUUUAAAAGUUAUUAUAAAUAUAUACAUAUAUGUAUAUUUAUAGAUGAGAGGGAAAAAGUAUUUGUACGUGGAUUACUUAAUUGUUAGCUUGUCUCAGGAGUUCUUUUCUUAUUAUAAAUUCGUUCCAUCUAUUUGCAAGUUUUGAUUUCACGAUUCUUUUUUUAUCUAUUCAAAAUUGAGAAAACUUUUAAUGCAAUCUAAAGAAUUAAAUUUUUCAAAGAUGAAAAAUCAGAGAACGAUUCAAAAAUAAACUUUGAUUAUCAAAAAAUUCUUGGAAUAAUAUAUCUUGUAAAUUUUAUACAUAUAACUCUCAUAACUUAUAUUUCUUUUUUAAAUUAAAUUUUCCUUCACCAUUGAUCAAAAAGAUAUUUAUUCGCGGCUUAACUUUACCGAUCAACCAUGACUUUUAGAGGAUGAUCGAUGACUCUUUUCACGCAUCAUUUCAAACGCGUGCAUCAUGACAGGAUCUAUAAUAGAGCAUGCAUGCUCGAAAAAGAGUUUUUCUUCGAAGAUUUAAUAUCGUAUCAGCACGCGAGCAUUCAACAACGUUCACGCUCCUUUUUAUAUCUAAAUUGCUCGAGAAAUGUUAUCAAACAACGUAAAGAUAUUGUACAGGGAAAUAUAAUAAUGAAAAAUGAACAAUUCCAAAGACGUGAACAUCUUAUUUUAGAAAAUUUAUAUCGAGAUUCGUUCUAUCGUUCUAUCGUUUAUAUCAUGAAAGUAAUAUCGUCUUCUCGUUUCGAAAAUUUUUAGUAGAGUUUUGUAUAUAAUAACUUGAUAAAUAGUCAUAACUUUUGGUUACGAAGGAAUUGAUACUUCUCUACGAAAAAUUUUCGAAUCAAAAUGACAGAAAUCUUUAUAAAUAUUUUAUACUUUGUCCAUUGUUACAAUUGAAAGAGUCAAGAUAGAAAAUAUAAACAAAAAAGUAAAAGUUUAUUACUGCAUUCUUUUUAACAAGUAUAGUAAAUUUUAAAAUAUUGAAUUUCUUUUUUCGAUUUUUAUGUAACCAUUCUGUUUGAUCAGCAAUAUGCUACUGUUAAAUAUAAACAGAAUAAUUAUACGUAUAUAUAUAUAUAUGAUUAUAAAAAGGAAAUCAAAAAUUUAUAAAAAUUAAAUUAAAAGAAUUCCCAGAAAUCGAUAUAUACGUAUAAUAAAUUAUAAAUAAAUAGAAUUAUAGGUCUCGUAAUAGAAUUCAUUUGAGAGUGCAAACAUAAAUUUGACAACAGUGAUGAAAUUAUCGUUGUAUAUCAAAGCAAUCGUACAAAUUAAUUAUGCAAAGGAAUGCUAGCUUGGGAAUAUAGAGCAAAGCUUGUCAGUUAGCCUAGGGACAUGAAGUUAUAGUAUCCUCAAUCACAAUUGUUACUGAAAUUUUGGUAAUUAGAGCAGUCGAUGUCUGAAAUAUCUAAUUGCCAGAUUCCACAAAGUUUACCAAGUCGAUUAUUUAACAAGAAAAUAACCAUAAUUACAAUACUUUUAUAUAUAACUUAAGUCUCGUCAAUUAAAAUUUUUUACAUGUGUAUGUAGAUAUCUAUGAAAAAGAAUCUCCUAUCAUUAAAACAUACUUAAAUAAUUUUAAAUUUCAAAUUAAACCUUACCUUCCAAUAAAAUAUUCUUCCAAAUAAAAUUCGUAUAAUUUUCGUCAUUCAUCGAAACAACUAAAUUUAUUUAAAGUUAACACACCCUCGACACGAGAGAUACCCAUAGAAUUCCAAAUACACGAAUCGAUAAACAGGCAUUCGUUCACAUACGACAAGAAAAAUUGAUACCCGUUAAAUUCGAUAUCUCUCCCGUUGUCGAGCCAUCGAUCAAACAGGUGACGCUUUAUCGGUUAGUUACUAAUCACCUUUCCAAGGGGUCCAAGGGAGUUUUAUUUUAGCAUAAUUCCAAUUUUAUCCCCGGACGAGCAGCACGGUUGCUCGAAGAUGAAUAGCUAGGGGCGGCCGAUCAGAUAAAACGAUUCUGAAAGAUGGAGAACAAAGAGAAAAAGGAAAAAACGAAAAGAAAGGGAGGAAAGAAAUGGACGAAAUAAGAAGGAGAAACUCCAAGAAUCGAACAGGACCGUAAUUCGGUCCAGUCAGCUUAAAAUGCAACCUACCUCCCGCCCGACCAGUAGAACCACCCGAUUUGAAUAUCCAACUGAAUUAAGACAGCCUCACGGGCCAUUAAGUCAAGCGAAAAGAGGUGGAAACUUUUCUGGUAUUACCCAAGACGUAAAGGGACUCGCGAUCGAAUUUAUAUUGCGACAAGUGCAUACAGGAUAUAGGAUAAAGAAUAUGAAUUCUCGAGAGUUCGAUUUCAUUGUAAAUGAAAUCUGACGCGAAUGUUUCGUCGUUAUUACGCGAUAAAUUAUUGUAACAUGUUAUCUGGUAAGUUGAAAUAAUAUUAAAUAAAAUGUCGUACUUAUAUUAAUUUUGUAUUCGUGCUAGAAUUGUGUUAUUCUAAAACAUAUAUUGAGUAAAAGAAUAUGUAAGAAUCGUUCCAUUUGUGCAUUGAUUUGAUUAUAUAUAUAUCAAAAAUCAAAGAUAGAAAUCAAUAUUCGAAGAUUGGUUAUUUAUCAAGUUAUAAACAAUUUUUAAAUUGGACGAAGCGAAAAUGAAAUGAUCUCUGUCUCGCCUCGUCUAGCGGAAAAUUAAAUUGCUUACGACUCGAAGAACAAAAGAACUUCAUUUUUGCAUGCCAACUUCUGUGUUCCAGUCCCUGGAAUCAUCCCUUAAAUUUUCUACCCACUUCAUCCGAACACCUUGUAUAUAGGUCAACUAUGCAACAACUUCGAACGAAUUUGUUUUGUCCUAUUCGUGUUGAUUUUUCUCUCUUGGCUUUUUCCAGAUUAACCUAACCUUCUGUAUACGGAUGCAUAGGCAAAAUUCCAUCCAACUGAAAAGCAAUUUACGAAUGCAUGAAGGGAUCGGGUGGAAAAUAUUUACCAUUUAGAAAAUGCAGAGUGAGAAAAUUAAAUUUAGAGAUAUCACGCUUGUUUAGAUUAUGUAUAUUUGCGCGUGUAUAUAUAGGAUGGAAUUAAAAUUUCAUAAAUACGGUUAUAAAAAAAAUUUCGUGACAUCUGGGGAAAAAUUUCUAAAAAAGAUUUUCAUGAAAAUGGUGUCAUGCUGAUACGCGAAAAUUCUUAGUAAAAAGAAAUAUCUUUUUUAUUUAUUUUAUUUCAUUUAUUUAUUUUUUUUUUUUAUUUCGAAAUUGGCAUGUAAAAUGCAUAACCAAUAUUGACCGUCGGCCACAUUUUUGCACGUACAUGUUUUCAGUUUUUUGUGUCCUAUUUCGUGACGUAUUUUGUUAACCUCGUAAAAAAAAAUUUUUCGAAAUUAUACUUAAACGAUAUUAUAUUAGAAAGAAAUGUUUGUAAGUGAUUUUACAAAAAAAUAAAUUAAUUAGUAGAGUUAAUUGAUGAAAAAAUGGGAAAAAUUUCUGGAAAUAAAAAACGAAAGAGAGAUACAUAAAAUAUAUUUAUAAAAACAAACGUUCUUCGUAGCAAAACAGCGAGAAAUAACGAUCCUGCACCAAUUCCCUUCGUAAUUCCUGCAUUUUCGCCAUGCUAUGUAUUCUCUUUUUCCAUUUGUAUGAUUCUUUACUUUAAUAUACCUUGAUAUUUACAUUAUCGACAUUGCACGCGCAUUAUUUAUAUAUCAAUCUAAUAAAAAAAUAAAAAUUUCUUUUAUAUGGAAAAUUUAUCCGUAACAUUAUAUCAACUCCUGCUAUUACGACACCGCCACGACAUUAAUUGGAAAAUAACUUGUAAUUGAAGAACAACGAAGAUUAAAAAUUUUUAAAAAAAGAGAGGGAGAUAAAUUAGAGAAAUAAAGCAAUAUCUUGAAAUCUAUUUUUUAAAUUUUACAAAGGAUUAUAAAUUUCGAUCCCCCAUCAGAGAAGCAAAUUUCAUUGAACUUUCAAAACUUUACGACAGAGCAGUUUAACCGAAACACGAAAUCGUAGAGACGGGUGGGAAGGGAAAAAACUGGAAUAAAACAUUAAAAUUCAAAAUAAACCGUUCCCGGCCGUUUAACUCGAAAAUUCAAGAGAGAAACCCGUGAUUGAAAAUUUGAAUGCGUUGGCCAUACAGUAUAUUUGCUGCACGAAACAAUGAAUCGACUAAAUAAUCGAGCGCGAAAUAUCCUAUUUUUGAUUCUCUCUUUUUUUUUUUUUUUUUUUUGCGCACUAUUUUACUCUUGUCAACUGAAUUUUUGAUUGACCAUUUCGAAAUAAACACGGGACCCCGCUCAAUUUACGCGCUAAAUCGAUCUGUAUUUCGAUGGUAUCGUUACGAUAUUCGAGAACCAUUUCUAAAAAUUUGCCGUUUAUUAUUUCACAUUUUCAAUGGACGGAUAUAAUAACACGAUAUACGUAAUUUGUCUCAUUUCAAACAUUUUUUCACGAUGGUAAGAUAAUUAUAAAAUAAUUUUUUGAAAUUACAGAACAAGGGAAUCAGGAUUCUAGGGGAAUUUAAUUCAUCUAGAGAUUUUUUCUACGUGAAUUUUAACAGAUACAUGUAAAAGUUACGAUUAUUUUAUUAAAUGAUCUGAAAUUAAUAUUCUACGAUUAUUCUCUGAAUCUUUAAUAAACGAUUACAUCAUGUUACAUGCAAAAGACAUAAAUCAAGAAAAACAUACGAAAAGUUCUUCAGCGAUCGAUUUUGAAUUUCAAGAACCUUUUCAUAAGAAAUGAUCAAUAAUCGUUCAUGGAGGAGCGUGAACGGAUUGAUAUUCCCGACUUAUCCAAUCUCAACGUGGAAUUCUUUUUAUCAUCAAAUCCUGAUCAAAUUUUCAUAAAUCACCAUCGACCAUUCGUCAAUUUUUCUCUAGAAAAUUGUAUUGCGAGUUUUUCUUUCAAAUUUCAAAAUCAAGAUUUAGAUUUAGAAACAGUCAGUAAACUGGCCCUAAAAUAAUAAAGAAAAUACAUUAUUUUCCUCCAAUUAUUUUAGUUUAAUCAAUCAACAAAAAUCGUGACCAACAAUCGCGAACAUCACGAAGAAAGAAAACAAAGUUUCUUUUCGAAGAAAGAACAAAAGCGGUCUGCUCGAAAGCUGGGCCAUCGGGAUACGUUUGACAAACACGUUCAACGUUGUAUUUUCAUAUUUCCAUAUCCGUAACGCAUAACACAUCACGAGGAAAAAAAGCACAGACUAAACCAGGAUACGUGUACGGAGCUUCGACCAUUUUUGAUUCUUUGAAGGUGUAACGUGAUCUAUCAAAUAUUAUAUGGAAAGUACUAUAAAAUUGAGAGUAUAUUUGGGAUAUUUUACGAACAAAGGGAAUUCUAUAAAGAGAUACGAUUAAAGUUUUAUGGAAAGAACAAGAUAUUCAUAUUUAUUGGAAACAUAAUAAAGAAGAUUCGUUAUAUGGACAAGAGAUAUAUAUGUGAAUGACAGAGGUAACAGAAAUAAAAAGCGAGUAAAAAAUAUAUAUAUAUGGUGCAAUAUUGUAUCCACUAAUGGAUUAAAAGUUUUGUUAUAAAAUAGAAAUGAUAUCCGAAACUUUUUACUCUCUGAUUGUAUGAAUUGUAUUUAAAUUUGUACUACACAAAUUAUACUAUGAAAUGAAAUAUUGUAUAAGUAAUUAAAAAACUGAUGAACUUUUAUGAAACUAAAUACACAAAUAAAAAAAAUAUAUAUCUCUCCUAUAAAAACAUAUUCCUUUUUUGGAAAAAUUUAUAAAAAUAAUUUAUUUUACAAAUGAAACGAUAUUUAUCAUAAACAUCCAAAUAUAUAUAUAU